CCAUGUGUCCACUUUUUACUGACCAUCAGCUACUCCCUAAAGUGCCUAUUAUUACUUAACAGCUGUUCCCCAACUGGUAAAAUUUACCAGUAGUGACAGGGAGUUGAUGGAUGCUACUGUUAACAGCGUCUAUACAGUAUAAUUAGAGAUAAUAGCUGCUACCUUGUGACUGGCUUCCGACCUUGUUACUACUCUUUACCUGCUGUUGCUAACCUUCAACACCUGCUUCUUUUUGCCUGGUGAAAAUACAAAAAAAAAACAGGUUAACCAUUGCUAAGUUAUAGAAAACCAAAAACAAAUAUAU